CUAGCUUAUUUCUGGGCUUCUAGAUGCAACCUACCUUGGAGAAUCAGACCGUGUACCGAGACCUCCACUUGGGCUCUAAAGUUUUUAUCGGAGUUCUCUCCUUCAAGAAUGUGCCUCAUACCCCAAGAAAUAGAAGACUUCAAAGGAAUUGGGGCUUUGACCCCUCGGUCUUUUCUCGGUAGCUGUGCUUGUUGCUGUUGGUGCUUGUCUUUGUACUAUCCUAGUUUCUCUCGUCCUGCUUUUAAGCGUGUAGUAGAGGUUUGCUAGGUUUGGUUUUGCCUCGGCCCGGGUUGUGGGCGUUUUUCUUCUUCUUUUGUUUUCCCUUCGACUCCCUUCCACUCUUCCUAAUGCGCAGUCAGAGUGUAAGUUGGCGCCGUU